AUUGAACGCUGGCGGCAGGCCUAACACAUGCAAGUCGAGCGGAUGAAGGGAGCUUGCUCCUGGAUUCAGCGGCGGACGGGUGAGUAAUGCCUAGGAAUCUGCCUGGUAGUGGGGGAUAACGUCCGGAAACGGGCGCUAAUACCGCAUACGUCCUGAGGGAGAAAGUGGGGGAUCUUCGGACCUCACGCUAUCAGAUGAGCCUAGGUCGGAUUAGCUAGUUGGUGGGGUAAAGGCCUACCAAGGUGACGAUCCGUAACUGGUCUGAGAGGAUGAUCAGUCACACUGGAACUGAGACACGGUCCAGACUCCUACGGGAGGCAGCAGUGGGGAAUAUUGGACAAUGGGCGAAAGCCUGAUCCAGCCAUGCCGCGUGUGUGAAGAAGGUCUUCGGAUUGUAAAGCACUUUAAGUUGGGAGGAAGGGAAGUAAGUUAAUACCUUGCUGUUUUGACGUUACCAACAGAAUAAGCACCGGCUAACUUCGUG
rnacentral:rRNA from 1 species